GUUUUAAUAAUUUAAUAAAAAUAUUAGUCUUGUAAACUAAAAAUAAGAUUAAUCUUUUAAAACA
rnacentral:tRNA from 1 species